UACAGAGGUGGCAAGCGUUGUUCGGAAUUACUGGGCGUAAAGGGCGCGUAGGCGGCCCGUCAAGUCCCGUGUGAAAGCCCCCGGCUCAACCGGGGAACUGCACGGGAAACUAGCAGGCUCGAGUUCGGGAGAGGGAAGCGGAAUUUCGGGUGUAGCGGUGAAAUGCGCAGAUAUCCGAAGGAACACCGGUGGCGAAGGCGGCUUCCUGGACCGACACUGACGCUGAGGCGCGAAAGCUAGGGGAGCAAACGGG
rnacentral:rRNA from 1 species